GCCGGUCUGCGACGAAUCUUCGGGCUUCUUUCCGACCCGUCUUGAAACACGGACCAAGGAGUCUAACUUGCGCGCGAGUCGCGGGGUGUCGAGUAGUGACGGCGGCAACGUCGUUGCUACUCGUUACAAUACGAAACCCGUUCGAUGAAAGGCGUAAUGAAAGUGAAUUCCUUUARUGGAAUGGGGAAGAUGGCGUUACCGAGUUCACGUUUCGCAACUUGUUUGCGACCGGUCGCCCGCAUUCCCAGGGCGUUCUAAUGGCCCGGCAGCGUUGCGGAUCGUCAUUCCUUCGGGGGUGGCGGUCGGGCGUUGUCGAACCGGGGCGCACCUAUAGCGUGCAAGUUGGUACCCGAAAGAUGGUGAACUAUGCCUGGCCAGGAUGAAGUCAGGGGAAACCCUGAUGGAGGUCCGCAGCGAUUCUGACGUGCAAAUCGAUCGUCUGAGCUGGGUAUAGGCGAA
rnacentral:rRNA from 1 species